rnacentral:rRNA from 1 species
GAUGAACGCUGGCGGCGUGCCUAAUACAUGCAAGUCGAGCGAACAGACGAGGAGCUUGCUCCUCUGACGUUAGCGGCGGACGGGUGAGUAACACGUGGAUAACCUACCUAUAAGACUGGGAUAACUUCGGGAAACCGGAGCUAAUACCGGAUAAUAUAUUGAACCGCAUGGUUCCAUAGUGAAAGACGGUUUUGCUGUCACUUAUAGAUGGAUCCGCGCCGCAUUAGCUAGUUGGUAAGGUAACGGCUUACCAAGGCAACGAUGCGUAGCCGACCUGAGAGGGUGGUCGGCUACAUGGGAACUGAGACACGGUCGAGACUCCUACGGGAGGCAGCAGUAGGGAAUCUUCCGCAAUGGGCGAAAGCCUGACGGAGCAACGCCGCGGGAGUGAUGAAGGUCUUCGGAUCGGAAAACUCUGUUAUUAGGGAAGAACAAAUGUGUAAGUAACUAUGCACGUCUUGACGGUACCUAAUCAGAAAGCCACGGCUAACUACGUG